UCUUGGAGAUAUCUCUAUCACCCACUAAAGUGCCCAAGAUGCCUGCAUGUGUUUUCUCCUCCAUGGCAGCAAUCAUCAAGUCAGACUCCCUUUGGUCCAGAGAUGCGUGAUCCUGGCUUUCCAGACAGCCACUAGAGAGACGCAGCUGUACACCUGCCUUCGAGUUUCCAAACUAUUUCUUUCCCUGAAGACUCUAAGAUACUAGCUUCGAAUAACACACCGCCUGGAGGGCUUGGGAAUUCUCAUACACCAAAGUCUAGGGGACCUAUUUUUCUCCAGGGCAGGUGAAAGCAGCCUGAGUAUCUCUGUGUCACCAUGCAUGAAAGUAGACUAUUCAACUAUCUUUCCCAGCACUUUGGCUUGUUCAAAGCCUUUGGGGUGUUUGGUGAAAUACCUCGGAGUCCUCCCAUACAUCCCGGUUCCUGUGAAUGGCGAAUAUGUUCAGUCCAACCUGGCAGCCUAGAAAAGAAAAGUGAGAAAAAGCUUGUGGCACCUUAGAGUGAGGUGUUUGUGGGAUGCUCUCCCUCCUUGGGCUCUAGUGAUGAUGCCCCACUUGUCACUGGCAGCAGCACGAAGGAUGAAUGAGCCCAACAGACCUGCUGGCAAGCUGCGUCCAUCAGGAAACGUGAUGGGUUUAUGCAGGCGUCGGGACA